rnacentral:misc_RNA from 1 species
UACGUAGGGGGCGAGCGUUGCCCGGAUUUAUUGGGCGUAAAGGGCGCGUAGGCGGCCGCGUGCGUCACGGGUGAAAUCUCCCGGCUCAACUGGGAGAGGUCCUGUGAUACGGCGCGGCUCGAGCGAGGUAGGGGGUCGUGGAAUUCCCGGUGUAGUGGUGGAAUGCGUAGAGAUCGGGAGGAACACCCGUGGCGAAGGCGGCGACCUGGACCUCGGCUGACGCUAAGGCGCGAAAGCGUGGGGAGCGAUCCGG